CAGCCUGAACUCUGUGAAGGCAUUAUUGUCGCAUGGAAUUUGUCUUGAAUUCGCUACCUCCAUACACUGCGCCCAUUCGCCCGCGCGCUCUCGCACCAACCACACUGCGAGCCCAAUCCAAACACCAUCUGUGAUACACAACCCAAAGAUUAUAAAAAAAAUAAAAAGGACAUUAAUAAAGUGCUGUGACAAACUUUUGACCAUUAAAAACACCGUUAUGUCGCGCGCGUCUGCCUUCAAAACCUUCUUCUAAACUUCCAACAAGUGUUCCGUUGUUUUUCCGAGUACCUACGGAACACUAACAUGACGAAGUACAAGUUGAAUAACACCGUGAGGUCGUCAUCCGAGGUGACCCUAACAUCCUACAUGACUGGAAGCACUGAUAGCGAGCGAAAAGAUGAAUGCUACCAGAUAACAGGCUCCAACGAUAACGAACAAGACGAUGUAUCAGAGUCCAACAAUCUGGAAGAUGGGAAGUGCCAUGUUUGUCCGAAUUCGUGUGAAUUUCUCCAGGAGCCGGGGAAAAUCGCGGCUUCAUUAGAAAAAAGAUACGAUAAAUACAGCCUGAAUGAGUUAAAAGUGGAAAACUUGGGAAGGGGGUGCUUAUGUGAGAAAUACAACGGUGGGUGCAAGCUGUGUCCGAGACCCAGUCUUGCACCCACGUUGACCAUGAGCAUGGAUGGCGCCCACGGGAAGGGUGCAUGUUUGGCCUGCAACGGAGCAGCGUGUGGAACGCCCAACCCUCUGUCCAACGGAGGCUACCCCCCCUACCCCUCCACAAGCAAGAAAAGCAAGUGGAAGAGCGACGCGGCGCGGCGGCUGCGGGCCUGCUGCUCCAAGAAGACGCUGCUGCGAAGGAUACCCAUCCUCGCCUGGCUGCCCAACUACUCCUUUCGAAGCGGACUAGCGGAUAUCAUAGCAGGAAUAACGGUGGGGCUGACGGUGAUCCCGCAGGCGAUCGCGUACGCGGGCGUGGCGGGGCUGCCGCCGCAGUACGGCCUGUACUCCUCGUUCAUGGCGUGCUUCGUGUACACCGUGUUCGGCUCCGUGAAGGACUCCGCCAUCGGCCCCACCGCCAUCGCCGCCAUCCUCACGCGCGAGAACCUGCACGGCCUGGGGCCCGAGUUCGCCGUGCUGCUGUCCUUCCUCAGCGGGUGCGUCGAGCUCAUCAUGGGCAUACUUCAGCUAGGGUUCCUGAUCGACUUCAUCAGCGGGCCGGUGUCGGUGGGCUUCACGUCCGCGGCCGCCAUCAUCAUCGCCACCACGCAGGUCAAGGACAUCCUCGGCCUCAGCUUCCCCGGCGGAAAGUUCCUACAGGUAUGGACGGGUAUGUACGAGCAUAUCGGCGAAACCAGAUUGUGGGACACCGUACUGGGCGUAUCCUGCAUCGUCGUAUUAUUGCUUUUGAGGAAGGUGAAAGACAUCAAGAUCGGGUCAGACGACGAGGACAAGGAGGGCAGGCUGGAGAAGCGCUCGCAGCUGAAGGCGGCGCUGGCGCAGACGCUGUGGUUCCUGUCCACCACGCGGAACAUCUUCGUGGUGCUGGUGUGCGCCGGCCUGGCCUACUACUACGACACCAAGAACCAAACGCCCUUCGUGCUCACCGGUAACGUGAAAGCGGGGCUCCCGCAGUUCGCGCCGCCGCCCUUCUCCGCGACGGUGGGCAACCACACCUACAGCUUCACGGAGAUGGCGUCCACGCUCGGCUCCGCCAUCUUCGUGGUGCCGCUGCUCUCCAUACUCGAAAACAUUGCACUUGCCAAGGUUUUUUCGGAGGGAAAGUACGUGGAUGCGACACAAGAGAUGGUGGCGUUAGGAGUUUGCAACAUAGCGUCUUCGUUCGUGGAGUCCAUGCCAGUAUCGGGCGCCUUGUCGCGAGGCGCCGUCAACCACGCGUCCGGCGUUGCCUCGCCCGCGGGCGGCCUCUACACCGGCGCCUUGGUGCUGCUGGCUCUACAGUACUUCACACCGUAUUUCUACUACAUCCCGAAGGCGUCGCUGGCGGCCGUCAUCAUCGCCGCGGUCGUGUUCAUGAUGGAGCUGCACGUCUUCAAACCUAUCUGGCGAACGAAGAAGGUGGACAUAAUCCCAGCGGUGGUGACGUUCACGGCGUGCCUGGUGACGCGGCUGGAGCUGGGCAUCGUGCUGGGCAUCGCCGUCAACCUGCUGUUCCUGCUCUACGCCUCCGCGAGACCCGCUGUCAAGGUCACUACUGCCGUGUCAGAGGGCGGCGUGCGCUACGCGGUGGCGUCGGUGGACCGCGCGCUGGCGUUCCCGGCGGCGGAGUUCGUGCGGCGCGCGCUGCGCAAGGCGGCCGGCGACGCGCCGCUCGUGCUCGACGCGCACCACGUGCAGGCCGCCGACUUUACUGCCGCUAAGGGCAUCAAGUCGCUGAUCGAAGACUUCCACGCGCGCGGGCAGACGAUCAUCUUCUACAACGUGAAGCCGUCGAUAGCGGAGGUGUUCAAGGGCGUGAAGCCGCGCGAGUUCGUGCACUGCUCGUGCCGCGUGGAGCUGGAGCGCCUGCUGCUGGAGGCGCAGCGCAAGUCCAAGCAGCAAGUGGCCUGGUACGCACCAACACAGCUAACUCUGCGCCCUACACUAGCCUCUUCUACAACGUGAAGCCGUCGAUAGCGGAGGUGUUCAAGGGCGUGAAGCCGCGCGAGUUCGUGCACUGCUCGUGCCGCGUGGAGCUGGAGCGCCUGCUGCUGGAGGCGCAGCGCAAGUCCAAGCAGCAAGUGGCCUGGUACGCACCAACACAGCUAACUCUGCGCCCUACACUAGCCUCUUCUACAACGUGAAGCCGUCGAUAGCGGAGGUGUUCAAGGGCGUGAAGCCGCGCGAGUUCGUGCACUGCUCGUGCCGCGUGGAGCUGGAGCGCCUGCUGCUGGAGGCGCAGCGCAAGUCCAAGCAGCAAGUGGCCUGGUACGCACCAACACAGCUAACUCUGCGCCCUACACUAGCCUCUUCUACAACGUGAAGCCGUCGAUAGCGGAGGUGUUCAAGGGCGUGAAGCCGCGCGAGUUCGUGCACUGCUCGUGCCGCGUGGAGCUGGAGCGCCUGCUGCUGGAGGCGCAGCGCAAGUCCAAGCAGCAAGUGGCCUGGUACGCACCAACACAGCUAACUCUGCGCCCUACACUAGCCUCUUCUACAACGUGAAGCCGUCGAUAGCGGAGGUGUUCAAGGGCGUGAAGCCGCGCGAGUUCGUGCACUGCUCGUGCCGCGUGGAGCUGGAGCGCCUGCUGCUGGAGGCGCAGCGCAAGUCCAAGCAGCAAGUGGCCUGGUACGCACCAACACAGCUAACUCUGCGCCCUACACUAGCCUCUUCUACAACGUGAAGCCGUCGAUAGCGGAGGUGUUCAAGGGCGUGAAGCCGCGCGAGUUCGUGCACUGCUCGUGCCGCGUGGAGCUGGAGCGCCUGCUGCUGGAGGCGCAGCGCAAGUCCAAGCAGCAAGUGGCCUGGUACGCACCAACACAGCUAACUCUGCGCCCUACACUAGCCUCUUCUACAACGUGAAGCCGUCGAUAGCGGAGGUGUUCAAGGGCGUGAAGCCGCGCGAGUUCGUGCACUGCUCGUGCCGCGUGGAGCUGGAGCGCCUGCUGCUGGAGGCGCAGCGCAAGUCCAAGCAGCAAGUGGCCUGGUACGCACCAACACAGCUAACUCUGCGCCCUACACUAGCCUCUUCUACAACGUGAAGCCGUCGAUAGCGGAGGUGUUCAAGGGCGUGAAGCCGCGCGAGUUCGUGCACUGCUCGUGCCGCGUGGAGCUGGAGCGCCUGCUGCUGGAGGCGCAGCGCAAGUCCAAGCAGCAAGUGGCCUGGUACGCACCAACACAGCUAACUCUGCGCCCUACACUAGCCUCUUCUACAACGUGAAGCCGUCGAUAGCGGAGGUGUUCAAGGGCGUGAAGCCGCGCGAGUUCGUGCACUGCUCGUGCCGCGUGGAGCUGGAGCGCCUGCUGCUGGAGGCGCAGCGCAAGUCCAAGCAGCAAGUGGCCUGGUACGCACCAACACAGCUAACUCUGCGCCCUACACUAGCCUCUUCUACAACGUGAAGCCGUCGAUAGCGGAGGUGUUCAAGGGCGUGAAGCCGCGCGAGUUCGUGCACUGCUCGUGCCGCGUGGAGCUGGAGCGCCUGCUGCUGGAGGCGCAGCGCAAGUCCAAGCAGCAAGUGGCCUGGUACGCACCAACACAGCUAACUCUGCGCCCUACACUAGCCUCUUCUACAACGUGAAGCCGUCGAUAGCGGAGGUGUUCAAGGGCGUGAAGCCGCGCGAGUUCGUGCACUGCUCGUGCCGCGUGGAGCUGGAGCGCCUGCUGCUGGAGGCGCAGCGCAAGUCCAAGCAGCAAGUGGCCUGGUACGCACCAACACAGCUAACUCUGCGCCCUACACUAGCCUCUUCUACAACGUGAAGCCGUCGAUAGCGGAGGUGUUCAAGGGCGUGAAGCCGCGCGAGUUCGUGCACUGCUCGUGCCGCGUGGAGCUGGAGCGCCUGCUGCUGGAGGCGCAGCGCAAGUCCAAGCAGCAAGUGGCCUGGUACGCACCAACACAGCUAACUCUGCGCCCUACACUAGCCUCUUCUACAACGUGAAGCCGUCGAUAGCGGAGGUGUUCAAGGGCGUGAAGCCGCGCGAGUUCGUGCACUGCUCGUGCCGCGUGGAGCUGGAGCGCCUGCUGCUGGAGGCGCAGCGCAAGUCCAAGCAGCAAGUGGCCUGGUACGCACCAACACAGCUAACUCUGCGCCCUACACUAGCCUCUUCUACAACGUGAAGCCGUCGAUAGCGGAGGUGUUCAAGGGCGUGAAGCCGCGCGAGUUCGUGCACUGCUCGUGCCGCGUGGAGCUGGAGCGCCUGCUGCUGGAGGCGCAGCGCAAGUCCAAGCAGCAAGUGGCCUGGUACGCACCAACACAGCUAACUCUGCGCCCUACACUAGCCUCUUCUACAACGUGAAGCCGUCGAUAGCGGAGGUGUUCAAGGGCGUGAAGCCGCGCGAGUUCGUGCACUGCUCGUGCCGCGUGGAGCUGGAGCGCCUGCUGCUGGAGGCGCAGCGCAAGUCCAAGCAGCAAGUGGCCUGGUACGCACCAACACAGCUAACUCUGCGCCCUACACUAGCCUCUUCUACAACGUGAAGCCGUCGAUAGCGGAGGUGUUCAAGGGCGUGAAGCCGCGCGAGUUCGUGCACUGCUCGUGCCGCGUGGAGCUGGAGCGCCUGCUGCUGGAGGCGCAGCGCAAGUCCAAGCAGCAAGUGGCCUGGUACGCACCAACACAGCUAACUCUGCGCCCUACACUAGCCUCUUCUACAACGUGAAGCCGUCGAUAGCGGAGGUGUUCAAGGGCGUGAAGCCGCGCGAGUUCGUGCACUGCUCGUGCCGCGUGGAGCUGGAGCGCCUGCUGCUGGAGGCGCAGCGCAAGUCCAAGCAGCAAGUGGCCUGGUACGCACCAACACAGCUAACUCUGCGCCCUACACUAGCCUCUUCUACAACGUGAAGCCGUCGAUAGCGGAGGUGUUCAAGGGCGUGAAGCCGCGCGAGUUCGUGCACUGCUCGUGCCGCGUGGAGCUGGAGCGCCUGCUGCUGGAGGCGCAGCGCAAGUCCAAGCAGCAAGUGGCCUGGUACGCACCAACACAGCUAACUCUGCGCCCUACACUAGCCUCUUCUACAACGUGAAGCCGUCGAUAGCGGAGGUGUUCAAGGGCGUGAAGCCGCGCGAGUUCGUGCACUGCUCGUGCCGCGUGGAGCUGGAGCGCCUGCUGCUGGAGGCGCAGCGCAAGUCCAAGCAGCAAGUGGCCUGGUACGCACCAACACAGCUAACUCUGCGCCCUACACUAGCCUCUUCUACAACGUGAAGCCGUCGAUAGCGGAGGUGUUCAAGGGCGUGAAGCCGCGCGAGUUCGUGCACUGCUCGUGCCGCGUGGAGCUGGAGCGCCUGCUGCUGGAGGCGCAGCGCAAGUCCAAGCAGCAAGUGGCCUGGUACGCACCAACACAGCUAACUCUGCGCCCUACACUAGCCUCUUCUACAACGUGAAGCCGUCGAUAGCGGAGGUGUUCAAGGGCGUGAAGCCGCGCGAGUUCGUGCACUGCUCGUGCCGCGUGGAGCUGGAGCGCCUGCUGCUGGAGGCGCAGCGCAAGUCCAAGCAGCAAGUGGCCUGGUACGCACCAACACAGCUAACUCUGCGCCCUACACUAGCCUCUUCUACAACGUGAAGCCGUCGAUAGCGGAGGUGUUCAAGGGCGUGAAGCCGCGCGAGUUCGUGCACUGCUCGUGCCGCGUGGAGCUGGAGCGCCUGCUGCUGGAGGCGCAGCGCAAGUCCAAGCAGCAAGUGGCCUGGUACGCACCAACACAGCUAACUCUGCGCCCUACACUAGCCUCUUCUACAACGUGAAGCCGUCGAUAGCGGAGGUGUUCAAGGGCGUGAAGCCGCGCGAGUUCGUGCACUGCUCGUGCCGCGUGGAGCUGGAGCGCCUGCUGCUGGAGGCGCAGCGCAAGUCCAAGCAGCAAGUGGCCUGGUACGCACCAACACAGCUAACUCUGCGCCCUACACUAGCCUCUUCUACAACGUGAAGCCGUCGAUAGCGGAGGUGUUCAAGGGCGUGAAGCCGCGCGAGUUCGUGCACUGCUCGUGCCGCGUGGAGCUGGAGCGCCUGCUGCUGGAGGCGCAGCGCAAGUCCAAGCAGCAAGUGGCCUGGUACGCACCAACACAGCUAACUCUGCGCCCUACACUAGCCUCUUCUACAACGUGAAGCCGUCGAUAGCGGAGGUGUUCAAGGGCGUGAAGCCGCGCGAGUUCGUGCACUGCUCGUGCCGCGUGGAGCUGGAGCGCCUGCUGCUGGAGGCGCAGCGCAAGUCCAAGCAGCAAGUGGCCUGGUACGCACCAACACAGCUAACUCUGCGCCCUACACUAGCCUCUUCUACAACGUGAAGCCGUCGAUAGCGGAGGUGUUCAAGGGCGUGAAGCCGCGCGAGUUCGUGCACUGCUCGUGCCGCGUGGAGCUGGAGCGCCUGCUGCUGGAGGCGCAGCGCAAGUCCAAGCAGCAAGUGGCCUGGUACGCACCAACACAGCUAACUCUGCGCCCUACACUAGCCUCUUCUACAACGUGAAGCCGUCGAUAGCGGAGGUGUUCAAGGGCGUGAAGCCGCGCGAGUUCGUGCACUGCUCGUGCCGCGUGGAGCUGGAGCGCCUGCUGCUGGAGGCGCAGCGCAAGUCCAAGCAGCAAGUGGCCUGGUACGCACCAACACAGCUAACUCUGCGCCCUACACUAGCCUCUUCUACAACGUGAAGCCGUCGAUAGCGGAGGUGUUCAAGGGCGUGAAGCCGCGCGAGUUCGUGCACUGCUCGUGCCGCGUGGAGCUGGAGCGCCUGCUGCUGGAGGCGCAGCGCAAGUCCAAGCAGCAAGUGGCCUGGUACGCACCAACACAGCUAACUCUGCGCCCUACACUAGCCUCUUCUACAACGUGAAGCCGUCGAUAGCGGAGGUGUUCAAGGGCGUGAAGCCGCGCGAGUUCGUGCACUGCUCGUGCCGCGUGGAGCUGGAGCGCCUGCUGCUGGAGGCGCAGCGCAAGUCCAAGCAGCAAGUGGCCUGGUACGCACCAACACAGCUAACUCUGCGCCCUACACUAGCCUCUUCUACAACGUGAAGCCGUCGAUAGCGGAGGUGUUCAAGGGCGUGAAGCCGCGCGAGUUCGUGCACUGCUCGUGCCGCGUGGAGCUGGAGCGCCUGCUGCUGGAGGCGCAGCGCAAGUCCAAGCAGCAAGUGGCCUGGUACGCACCAACACAGCUAACUCUGCGCCCUACACUAGCCUCUUCUACAACGUGAAGCCGUCGAUAGCGGAGGUGUUCAAGGGCGUGAAGCCGCGCGAGUUCGUGCACUGCUCGUGCCGCGUGGAGCUGGAGCGCCUGCUGCUGGAGGCGCAGCGCAAGUCCAAGCAGCAAGUGGCCUGGUACGCACCAACACAGCUAACUCUGCGCCCUACACUAGCCUCUUCUACAACGUGAAGCCGUCGAUAGCGGAGGUGUUCAAGGGCGUGAAGCCGCGCGAGUUCGUGCACUGCUCGUGCCGCGUGGAGCUGGAGCGCCUGCUGCUGGAGGCGCAGCGCAAGUCCAAGCAGCAAGUGGCCUGGUACGCACCAACACAGCUAACUCUGCGCCCUACACUAGCCUCUUCUACAACGUGAAGCCGUCGAUAGCGGUGGUGUUCAAGGGCGUGAAGCCGCGCGAGUUCGUGCACUGCUCGUGCCGCGUGGAGCUGGAGCGCCUGCUGCUGGAGGCGCAGCGCAAGUCCAAGCAGCAAGUGGCCUGGUACGCACCAACACAGCUAACUCUGCGCCCUACACUAGCCUCUUCUACAACGUGAAGCCGUCGAUAGCGGAGGUGUUCAAGGGCGUGAAGCCGCGCGAGUUCGUGCACUGCUCGUGCCGCGUGGAGCUGGAGCGCCUGCUGCUGGAGGCGCAGCGCAAGUCCAAGCAGCAAGUGGCCUGGUACGCACCAACACAGCUAACUCUGCGCCCUACACUAGCCUCUUCUACAACGUGAAGCCGUCGAUAGCGGAGGUGUUCAAGGGCGUGAAGCCGCGCGAGUUCGUGCACUGCUCGUGCCGCGUGGAGCUGGAGCGCCUGCUGCUGGAGGCGCAGCGCAAGUCCAAGCAGCAAGUGGCCUGGUACGCACCAACACAGCUAACUCUGCGCCCUACACUAGCCUCCUCUACAACGUGAAGCCGUCGAUAGCGGAGGUGUUCAAGGGCGUGAAGCCGCGCGAGUUCGUGCACUGCUCGUGCCGCGUGGAGCUGGAGCGCCUGCUGCUGGAGGCGCAGCGCAAGUCCAAGCAGCAAGUGGCCUGGUACGCACCAACACAGCUAACUCUGCGCCCUACACUAGCCUCUUCUACAACGUGAAGCCGUCGAUAGCGGUGGUGUUCAAGGGCGUGAAGCCGCGCGAGUUCGUGCACUGCUCGUGCCGCGUGGAGCUGGAGCGCCUGCUGCUGGAGGCACAGCGCAAGUCCAAGCAGCAAGUGGCCUGAACGGAAUAAAAAGUGAGAAAUGUGCUAGAUCUCCGAAGCAAGACGCGACGCGUACAAAAGUAGUCAAACGUUUUUUAUAUCGGCAAAAGAAUUAUUUCUAAAUAAGUAUUUGUCAAUAUUUUUAGAUAAUUUUCCAAAAUGUUGUCUAAGUGCGAAAUAGCUUUGUAAAAUUGUGACAAAUUAGACAGUAUUUUAGAUACAUUUUAAUUUGUAUAUUUAUGUAACAUAAAAUAGAUAGAAAAUAUAGUAGGUAGGUAGAUAAUAUAACACACAUUAGUAAUAGAUGGAGUUUUUGACAGUAUUAGAUUUUAAUGAAUUGUUAAAUACAUGUUCCAAGAAUGUUGAUAAAAUGAAUUUAUUUUACAGUU